UACGUAGGGGCCUAGCGUUGUCCGGAAUUAUUGGGCGUAAAGAGCUCGUAGGCGGUUCGGCAAGUCGGAUGUGAAAUCUCCACGCUUAACGUGGAGGGGCCAUUCGAAACUGCUGUGACUCGAGUCCGGUAGGGGAGUGUGGAAUUCCCGGUGUAGCGGUGAAAUGCGCAGAUAUGUGGAGGAAUACCGAUGGCGAAGGCAGCCUCCUGGGCCAACACUGACGCUCAUGCACGAAAGCGUGGGGAGCAAACAGG
rnacentral:rRNA from 1 species